CCCUCUCCGGCCGCCAUGAUUGUGAGGGGCAGCGUCGGCCCAGUAGGCUGUCGCAGCGCUGGCCUGCGUCGGGAGUGUGAGUGGCAGGCGGCUGCCUGACCCCCCCGGGGCCCCCUGGAGGCGGUGAAGAAUCCAGACACCCGGGGGUAUCGGACGCUAACUGCGGCUGGGGGUGGAAAGGGGGUGUUUGGGAUCCAGCCGGCGCGAGCUUUCGCGGCUAAUUCGCAGUUUGAUCCGGAUAAUUCUGACGGAGGUGAAGGGAGAUACAUAUGAAAUGGCCGGCAAAUGGUCAGUACUCACUGGAAGCAGUACGUGACUAGGAGGGGGAUUGUAUGGGUUUGUUCACAGGACAGUGACACCUAACAGAAAAAAAAAAAAAAAAAGACCUUCAUCUCCAGCAUGGGCCCUUGUUUUCAGCUCUGAAUGAUUAAGUUCCCAGUCAUAUUCAUCAUUCUCAGUGUAGGACAUCAAUGAGAGUAAGGAUGGCCUUAGGAAAAGGGCCUUCUCACACUGCCCUGCAGAUGAUCAAAUGCAGUAUCUCCUCAAAGAGAGAGCUCCAAAACCCCUUGGAAUUUCCUGCGUGAUAGAAGCAUCUUUGGUGGGCUCUGGAUGAGGGCUAGUACCAGAAAGACUAAGCAUCAUUGCAACCUUGGAACUUUCAUCUUCCUGGGACAGGAUCGGGCUAGGGAUUGAGAUAAUAAUCAGUCCUGCCUUAUGAUGACACCUCCGCAACAUCCAGAUGCCAGGUAGCUGCCGCACACCCUCCACCAGGACAGGAGCUCGGCUCUCAGGACCCUUCCAGAUCUCACCCUGAGCAUCUCUCCAUCUGGCUGCUCAUCUGUGUCUGUAUUCUUUAUCAUAUAAUAAACCAUGAGAUGUACAGGA